GGUCUCAUGGUGUAAUGGUGAGCACUCUGGACUUUGAAUCCAGCGAUCCGAGUUCGAGUCUCGGUGAGACCU
rnacentral:tRNA from 1 species